rnacentral:rRNA from 1 species
AUUGAACGCUGGCGGCAGGCUUAACACAUGCAAGUCGAGCGGAAACGAUGUAGCUUGCUACAGGCGUCGAGCGGCGGACGGGUGAGUAACGCGUAGGAAUCUGCCUAGUAGUGGGGGACAACAUGUGGAAACGCAUGCUACUACCGCAUACGCCCUACGGGGGCAAGGAGGGGAUCUUCGGACCUUUCGCCAUUAGAUGAGUGUGCGUAGGAUUAGCUAGUUGGUAGGGUAAAGGCCUACCAAGGCGAUGAUCUUUAACUGGUCUGAGGGGGUGGCCAGUCACACUGGAACUGAGACACGGCCCAGACUCCUACGGGAGGCAGCAGUGGGGAAUAUUGCACAAUGGGCGCAAGCCUGAUCCAGCCAUGCCGCGUGUGUGAAGAAGGCCUUAGGGUUGUAAAGCACUUUCAGGGGUGAGGAAGGGUGUUUGGUUAAUAUCCAAACAUUUUGACGGUAGCCCCAGAAGAAGCACCGGCUAACUCUGUG